GGUCAGGGAGAGCUUUGGAGGAGUUCUGAUGAAGUGCUGUGUGUGAGAAAAUCACUCAGAAGGAAUGUUGGGCCUGGAUGGCCGCGUCCCCAGGAGCAGCAGCUCCCAGCCUGGGAAGCGUUUCACUUCAGGGAUUCCUUCAGCAGACAAAGGGAGGCUACAGGCAGCACAGCAAAUCAGGAGGGCUCUGAAGGAAGGAGCUGCCAGCAGAGCUGCCUGGUGGCUGUGUGAGUCAGACGAGGUGUGCACAUCUCCCUCUGUCAGAUGGAACCGGCGGCGGUGCCCGGCCGUGUGUCCAGGAACAUCCACCUGGAGCAACAACAGGGCACCUACUGCUGCUGGCUUCAUACAGGGCAGCUUGUGUUUCCACUGUCUCUUCACACAGAACUGCUUCUCCCUGCUGUGCCAAGACUUGCCUUUUUUCUCCCCACCUGCCCUCAGAGUUAAAAUUCAUCUCCUCUCUUGAUUAUUGCCAUCUGUUUUGUUGCAAUCUCCAUCAGGGUAUGCAGAAUAAUUACCAGGCUCAUUUUCUGCUGGUCUGAAAAGACAAGUGGUUUCUCCCAGCAUACUGAGAAAUCCUCUGUCCUGUGGAGUUCAACUGCUUCUAUUUGAAGGCCCUGGCAAGAAAUUAAUGAAGCCUCUUUUACUAAAGUUUUCAGCUGGAGGGAAUAUUUUUAAAAUUCUGAUCAUGCUGAAUAAAACUCAGUCUUCACUCUGAGGGUUUUUUCUCUUCUGUUUCCCUGUGUAUUUAGAGGCUUCUUGGUCAACUUUUCCAUCUGCCUUUGUGUGUUUCUGCUGCUGAUAAUGACUGAAAUUUGGAGUUUGAAUGGAUGCCUCAGAGGGAAGAAGACUGAGCCUCUUUCUAGAGAAUAUUAUUGCAGUUUUAGUUUGGAGUGUUUUGACCAACAGUUGUAAAACUGCCAGCUACAGCACAUGUUGAUUUUCUUUCAGCUCAGGGUCACUGGGAAUAUGUACAAUGAUGCUCUCCUUAAGGGGGAAAAGAAAGGAUUUUGGGAUACAGAAGAGCAAGUUUUGCAUAAGUGCUUCUGUGGAGGUGAAGGGGUAUUACAGCAUUCAAUGUGACUCAUUUUAUUAGUCAAAAGCCUCCAGCAGGAUGAGCUGCUAGGAAUAGCAAAAUGUCUCAAGUAAAGGGAAAAAAUGGCUUCCAGAAUGAAAACAGAACAUUCCUUAUAAACCAUCCCCAUUUGAUAUAAAGUUGUUGGAAUAUGUACAGUUAGUGUGUACAUGUGUAGCACAUAGCAUAAAACAAGGAUUCUGUAAAAAUACUACACCUAUGUAUUAACCAUUUAUUAACUCAUCAUGAUUACAAGAAUACAAGAAAUUCAGAGUCUGAAAUUACACUUUAUUUGCAAUAGGAAAAGAAGGACUCAGUAUGGCCUAUUUAACUUGGUGCAGAAUAAAUUUUAAUUUUGGAUUAA